rnacentral:lncRNA from 1 species
AGCUUCUCCCUCUCAUCUCUCUCUGAACUUAGCUCAAGGGCCAUAGAUGUUCCUAGGAACGACGAUGUCGCCGAUGUUGUUGUGCCACGGGUCCGCCAGGUGCGCGCCCAGGUUCUCCAGCGGGCCGGUGCCGGGGUACGCCGACUGCUGCACGCAGAAGCCCACGAACGCCAGCAUCGCCAGCCGCCCUGCAUCAUCAUCAGAGACAAGAUCAUACUACAUCAGCACCGAACGCUACACGCACUGCAGAUGGUUAAGAUUCAGGGGAUGGCACGUACCGUUCUUGAUCUCCUUGAGCUUGAGCUCCUCGAACUUGGCCGGGUCCUUGGAGAAUCCCAGCGGGUCGAAGGCGCCGCCGGGGUACUUCUUCUUCUCCGGGUCCUUCUCCAUGGUGCGCUGCUGCUCCGCGAAGGCGAUGGCCAGGAACUCGAUGGCCAGGAUGGUCGGCAGGUUGCCCCACGGCACGGGCACGCCGAAGUAGGUCGCCUGCCCGUCGGGGAGCGCCGCCCAUUCCUGCGCCUUCACCCAGUUCCCCAGCCCCAGCGCCUCCGGCACCAACACCCCUGGCUGCACGCCAACACGCACGGUUUAUCACUAGCGAACAGCUUGAAAAGUGAUGCAGAGGAGAGCAGAGGAGCACGGUUACGUACCACGCAGAGCAUGGCCCAGCGGCAGUGGUAGAUCUCGGACUCCUUGAACCGCUCGAAGUUCUCCGGUACGGUGGCGAGGCCGAGGGGGUCGAACCCGAAGUCGCUGAGAGUUAACAAAGGCAAGAGUUAAUCACCGGUCAGAUAUACCCCUCCGUCUCACCGUCUCAUGUCAAGUGAAUUUCUAUUGCAUGUAUCUGUGUAGAUACAUUUGGACAAAUUUAAGUCACUUAAUAUGGGACACAGCGAGUACAUGUUUUGGAUUUAGUAUGGCAAAUGGAUGCUUACCCGGGCGAGGAGCCGUCGAG